GUCAACGUCAACAUGAGCAUCUACACAACGCCGUCCCCUGCGAAUCCCUCGUCAGCUGGGACGCCUUCGUUUCCAGAGCUUGUGACCAAGAUAGGUGCAGCAGCCACAGACCAUGGAGACUGGGCCGCCUUAAUUGGAGGUAUCGUCAGUGCAGUGUUGUUGGUAAUGAUUUGUACAAUAGCAGUGAUGCUGUGGUGCCUGUCCAGGCAAAAAGGCUCGUACGUCACCAACGAGAACGAGGAUGAUGAUGAUGAUAUUGACAACAAUGAUGAUGAGUCUGUCGCUUCUGAUGCGGCACUUCAAGCCAAAGAACCUCUCAAACUCAAAGGUCAAAGAUGCCACCUGCUGUUAGAAGUCAUUUUUACAUCGCAACAGGCUUCCUAUCAGGCAACAAACAGGACUGGUUUGACAGAGAGAUCAGGACACGGCUGCUCUUCCUUCCUGUGUCAGCUCCCUGCUGUUGUCUAUUCUUUUGUAAAACAGAUCUACAUUACACGAGUGCGUGUGUAUGCGAGCUGCUUUGCUGAUCUGCUGAUGUCAGAUCUAAAAGACCACUCCCCAACAUCAGAUUUCAUGCUGCCGGUGCCCCAUCAAGCAAAGCCUCCUCACAAUAUUGGUGUUUUAAUAGUGUCUUUUAUUGUAAAUGUUGGCAGUAUUAAAAAAAUGAAAAUUUGUCUAGUCACUGGCCACUCCUCUAGCCACUUUCUCCUUUCCCUUCUCUCUCAUACCCUACUCUCAUAAGGUGGAGUCAUAAAGGUACAUUAUGUGAGGUGUGGAGAGCAAAAGACGUUACUGUUGUUUUGUUCUCCUCUCGUGGUUGAUUUGCACGUGUGCUAAAAGUGUGUUAGUGUUAGAUUUUUAAAGAAAGUCAAAAUUUUAAAAUAUAAUCAUUUUACAGAACACACACACACACACACACACAUGUAUAUAUAUAUAUAUAUAUAUAUAUAUAUAUACAGUAGAUGAUGCUACAAAAAAGGUAAGAUUUAGGCUUUGCUAAUACUUCCUUUGCCUUUGUUGUCGUUUGUUGUGCUUUUGUAGAAUGUUAGUGGAACUAACUCUCUUUGGAUAUGAGCAUUGCCCAAAACAACAAACAUCACAGCUUAUAGUGACUCUAACGUCAUUCAGAUGAGAUGGAAAUAAGAAAACAAAGACAGGCCUCUAGUUUUUGGCACUCUCUCAGAUUUCCAGCGUUCCACGGAGCUGGUUGCGACUGGCUGGGUUCGGUGCCUGCCGACUGUCACGCGCCGUACGUGAAGAAUGCUGGCCUCCUUUGUCCAAUCUGGCGGAGGCAACACCCCACGACCGGGUAAAUUGAAGCUUGGUCUGUCAGUACCUGUUCUCCAACUCUCGCACACACCGACUCACACAACACGGGAGAAAGAAACACAAACAAACACAACCAGUCCCUAGGAAGUGGUUUUAAUACCACUAGCUUUACCACAAGAUCCACGGUGAUAACAAUCAUCUUAUUUAAAUGAGACGGCUUAUACAAAAUCCACAUUCAAGACAUUCUGGAACAUUCAUAUAACUGUAUGGUUCUUGCUUACACACUAGUGCAAUUACUCAUUUUUUCACCUUUUGCUAUCUUAUCACACACCGAAACCUGAAACACAACCCCCUACAAUCAUGCCUAACCAAAACUGGACUUCUUACAAAGCACCUCACUGCUGUCUUUGAUGGACAGACAUAGUGCAACUACUGUGUUCAAAGACACAGGUGUUGACUGUUCCAACUAGAUCCUCCAACAGUAAGUACAUGCUUGGUACUUAUUUGAUGUAUCAGCCAUGUACUUACUGCUGAUAUGUACUGUGAAGUUAUUGAGUAAAGUGCAGCUAAUUAUACUGGUGCUGUUACUGCUAACGGAUACAGCAACAGAUCUAAGCAAGAACUACUGCAGUGUUGCCAGGUUCUACUAUGGGCCGUGUGUUACUUUAGCCGUUAGCCAUUAGCGCACCAAUAGCAGCGACACAGACAGUUAAGUGAGCUAUUGCCAUGUGGGAAAAUGGAAAGAACAAUUAUUUUUUAACUUAGCGGUUUCAAUUUAGCGAUAAUGUACAGCAACCAGCCCCUUUACAAGGUAAAGCGGUUGUAGGUAAGACACACACCGAAGCAAGCGUUUUCACAUACUUCAAGCAUGACUCGUAGGAUUUAGUGGAGAGAUUCAGAAUCACACAAAUAAUGUAACCCGGUACCAAUUGACCACAAGGCACAGAGCUCCACUUAUUGCCGCUACCCAUGUGUGGCUUUAGUUGUUAGGAUUGUAUCUCUAAACUGAUAUAAUCCAAUCAGAAGCUUUAACAUCUUUAUCUGAACACACCCAUUAAACAUGCAGUUACAGUUUUUGAAGAACAGGAUGAACCAAGUUUGUCAAAACCCUCGAGCAAAACGGUGCAUUCAAAAUUUGUAGAAAAACAAACAGACAACAGAUGCAGUCAGACAUUUCCAGAGCUCCUUAAAGUCCUCUCACAGUGCUCAUUUUGUACCAUUCUGCAAUAAGGUCAAGAUUCACAUGAUGUGACCACAUCCAUAAAGGAACCUUUGAAAUAGUCUGCACGAACUUCAGAGAGAUAGUUGACUGUUGUUGCUCCACAGUCAUAAGGUGGAUGCAGUUUCCCUCCACCCAGCAGCGAGAAAGGCUUCGGAACAUCUGCUGCAAGCAUCAACUACUAUAAUGUGGGCUUUAAAAAAACGAUUUGCAGGACCAAUUUACAGCCUUGCUCCUAACAGAGAAUGGGUACGGGCUUGUCUGCACACCUGGCUGUCAACAUACUGCAUUUCAAACUAAUAAUAAAAUUUCAGGCUUCCUCUGUCCA
ensembl:lncRNA